CUUCUCUGAUGUUAGCGGCGGACGGGUGAGUAACACGUGGGUAACCUACCUAUAAGACUGGGAUAACUCCGGGAAACCCGGGGGCUAAUACCGGAUAAUAUUUUGAACCGCAUGGUUCGAUAGUGAAAGACGGUUUCGGCUGUCACUUAUAGAUGGACCCGCGCCGUAUUAGCUAGUUGGUAAGGUAACGGCUUACCAAGGCGACGAUACGUAGCCGACCUGAGAGGGUGAUCGGCCACACUGGAACUGAGACACGGUCCAGACUCCUACGGGAGGCAGCAGGU
rnacentral:rRNA from 1 species